GUCGGAUUGUUCACCCGCCAAUAGGGAACGUGAGCUGGGUUUAGACCGUCGUGAGACAGGUUAGUUUUACCCUACUGACAAAGUAGAUACUGCGACAGUAGUCGAAGUUAGUACGAGAGGAACACUUCGUCCAGAUACUUGGUUAAUGCCGUUGUCUGAAAAGACAGUACGGCGAAGCUACCAUCUGCUGGAUUACGGCUGAACGCCUCUAAGCCGGAAUCCAUGCUGGAUAAGCAGUGUUGUACACCGUGCUCAAUGCUACAAGAAAAAGGCUAGGUCAGGCUUCGGCCUGACCAAAAUUCAAGCUGCUAUACCUCUGGCUGCAUUGACUUGUGGUCAGAGUGUAUGGUGAUCAUAGCAAUUGCAAGUAUUGGGCUCGAUAAAUCCUUUGAAGACGACUUAAUUGCAUCCGGGUAUUGUAAGUGUUGAGAGUAGGCUUAGUCUUACGAUCCACUGAGAUUCAUCCCGUGUUGCGCCGAUUUGU
rnacentral:ncRNA from 1 species